rnacentral:rRNA from 1 species
UGGGGAAUAUUGGGCAAUGGGGGCAACCCUGACCCAGCGACGCCGCGUGAGGGAAGACGGCCUUCGGGUUGUAAACCUCUUUUGUACGGGAAGAAGGAAGUGACGGUACUGUACGAAUAAGUCCCGGCUAACUACGUGCCAGCAGCCGCGGUAAUACGUAGGGGACGAGCGUUGUCCGGAAUUACUGGGCGUAAAGGGCGCGCAGGCUGUGCUGCAAGUCAGCUGUGAAAUGUCUGGGCUUAACCCGGGCAUGCGGUUGAGACUGCAGUGCUAGAGUGCUGUAGAGACAAGUGGAAUUCCCAGUGUAGCGGUGAAAUGCGUAGAUAUUGGGAAGAACACCGGUGGCGAAGGCGACUUGCUGGGCAGCAACUGACGCUGAGGCGCGAAAGCCAG